CUCCGAUAUUGCCUCACCUCCCCCAAAAGAGCUCAGUUCUUGCUGCAAUUUUGAAAGGCAAGGAUAGCUGUGCUACAGCUGCACAACCCGAGACUGCUUUCACUCAUUGAAACGACCGACUUUGGCAAGAACUCACCAAGUGACAGGUGAAAGCGGACUGUGGCAGGUUUUUGAAGAUGCACCUUUCUUCCUGCUAAAAACAGAGGAUGCUAUAUGCAGACAAUGCAGAUUUCAAAGCCUAGCUGCUCGAGUGCCGUCAUACUUCCUAGAAAUCAAACAGGUCACAGCGCUACUUAUUAGGUGAGUAAGUUUUUUUCUUUGUUGUUGUUUUUUUUGGGUAAGGUAUUCACUACAAAGCCUAACUCAAGCUCCUGGAAGAUGCAUGAAAAAUGUAAUGUAGUCAGAGCCAAAGAAUAAUCUCUCUCUCUUUCUCUCUCUCUCGCCUGCUCUUUUUCCUCCGGUCUCUCACCCUCCCUCUCUUGAUCAUUCACUUCUCACUUCUCUCUGGUGCCCUCCUUCUCGCCUCUGUGUGUCUGUUUGUCCAUCUGCCUGUUUCUCUCUCAG
ensembl:lncRNA